rnacentral:lncRNA from 12 species
CCCUGGCAGGAAGUUCAGCAUCCCCUCAAGCUCCAUAAACCUGUCAGGUAAGCCCCUAAGACAGAUAAGAGGGAACCAGUGGGUUCUACUGAACAUGAAAAACCCACACAUACUUUUGUGAACUUGGAGAGCAGAGGUCUGAGCCACUGCUUUGGGUCAAGCAUCCCUCUGUGUUUGCCUGGAGUACUCUUGAGCCAGAACAUCACCUCCAGACUUCUCACAUUAUGCUAAUCACCUAAACCAUCCUUCCAAAUAUGACCAAUAAUAGUGAAUUUCUGGAGCACCAAAAAAACCAAAAUCAUGAUGUUUGGUCUGAUGAUGGGACUUCAGUGAAGGUAUG